UACGGGGGGGGCAAGCGUUGUUCGGAAUUACUGGGCGUAAAGGGCUCGUAGGCGGCCAACUAAGUCAGACGUGAAAUCCCUCGGCUCAACCGGGGAACUGCAUCUGAUACUGGAUGGCUUGAAUUCGGGAGAGGGAUGCAGAAUUCCAGGUGUAGCGGUGAAAUGCGUAGAUAUCUGGAGGAAUACCGGUGGCGAAGGCGGCAUCCUGGACCGACAUUGACGCUGAGGAGCGAAAGCUAGGGGAGCAAACGGG
rnacentral:rRNA from 1 species